CGAACGGGUGAGUAACACGUGGGCAACCUGCCCAAAAGAGGGGGAUAACACUUGGAAACAGGUGCUAAUACCGCAUAACCAUAGUUACCGCAUGGUAACUAUGUAAAAGGUGGCUAUGCUACCGCUUCUGGAUGGGCCCGCGACGCAUUAGCUAGUUGGUGGGGUAAAGGCUUACCAAGGCAAUGAUGCGUAGCCGAACUGAGAGGUUGAUCGGCCACAUUGGGACUGAGACACGGCCCAAACUCCUACGGGAGGCAGCAG
rnacentral:rRNA from 1 species